AUGUUUUUCCACAGCUUUCUUGAACUUUAAAAAUUCAUGUGUUAAUUCCGUUCUCAAGAAUUCCUUUUCGAGAAUUCACGUGAUUAAACGAAGUUCAAGAAAGCUGUGGGAAAACAUGA
rnacentral:ncRNA from 2 species